GAAAAAACAACAGUUGUAGACUAAAUUAUUUAAAAAUAGUGAGUUUUACAAAAUUAGCUGGAAGAGACGUGAUGAAUGGAUAGUUUUUUAUUUAAUUUAAAUUAUACUAUAAAUAAAUAUUUAUGUUUUGUGAUUUAUUCAUUAAACGAAACAAAUUAUCGACUAUAAAAGAAAAAAAUUGAAGAAAAUCCCGAAAGUACGAAAAAAUCUAAAACAAAAUCUAAGAAAACAUAUUAUAGUAAAACUCUUUCAGCUCAUUUUCAGAUAUUUUGAACACAGGUAAAAUGAGAUAUUAACCACGCCCACUCCACAUAUAACGGUUAUGUGGAAAACUACUAAAAGUGCGAUAACUCUCUGAAUAAAUCCGACACAAGCAUUAAAUUUCACAAUCAAGAUAGGCUUUAUAGGAGCAGGAGGUGUGGAAAUGGACAAUGGGCGUGGCAUCGCCUCCUUUUGGGGGAAAUUCUAUACCUCAUAUGCUACUGGACCAAUUUCAAGCAAACUUGAUAUGUGAGGUGGCAAUAUCUUUUCAAGGACCAGCAGUAAUCUGCCAUCAUAUGACGAUCUUUACAACUCUGAUAUUAUUCUUCCUUGGGAUGGAAACGUUUUAUAAAGAAUAGAUUCUCAAUUCCGAUUCCGAUUUUAUAUUUUUCGAUCCUAAAAAUCGAUUCUUUCGAUGUUAUUCGAUUCUAAUUUAAAAUAUGAAUAAUUUUUAAAAAAUAAAGCACAAAAAUAAUUAAGAACAAUUAUAUUUUUUAUAAACGAAC